rnacentral:rRNA from 1 species
AUUGAACGCUAGCGGCAGGCCUAACACAUGCAAGUCGAACGAGUGGCGGACGGGUGAGUAAUGUAUGGGAAACUGCCUGAUGGAGGGGGAUAACUACUGGAAACGGUAGCUAAUACCGCAUACCAUCAGAUGUGCCCAGAUGGGAUUAGCUAGUGGGUGGGGUAAAGGCUCACCAAGGCGACGAUCCCUAGCUGGUCUGAGAGGAUGACCAGCCACACUGGAACUGUGGCAUGUUCCCGCCUCAUAAGGGUGGCAGCAGUUGGGAAUAUUGCACAAUGGGCGCAAGCCUGAUGCAGCCAUGCCGCGUGUAUGAAGAAGGCCUUCGGGUUGUAGAGUACUUUCAGCGGGGAGGCGUUACCCGCAGAAGAAGCACCGGCGAACUCCGUGCCAGCAGCCGCGGUAAUAC